UACGGGGGGAGCAAGCGUUGUUCGGAUUUACUGGGCGUAAAGGGCGCGUAGGCGGUCAGCACAAGUCAGUUGUGAAAUCUCCCGGGCUUAACUCGGAAAGGUCAACUGAUACUGUGCGACUAGAGUGCGGAAGGGGCAACUGGAAUUCUCGGUGUAGCGGUGAAAUGCGUAGAUAUCGAGAGGAACACCUGCGGCGAAGGCGGGUUGCUGGGCCGACACUGACGCUGAUGCGCGAAAGCGUGGGGAGCGAACAGG
rnacentral:rRNA from 1 species